UUUUAACUUAUUUUUUUUAAAAUAUUUAAAUUAAUUAUUUCUUUAUUUAUAGUAAGAUUAUAAACAAAUUACUUUUUAUAACUGAAUAGGAUUUAAGAUAUUAAUUUAAUAUUAUUUUUAGUACCUUUUGUAUCAGGGUAAUUUAAUUAAAAAAUUUAUUUAAUUUUCCCGAAAUAAAAUGAUUUAAUUUUAUUUUAUUUUACUUGUUUCAUAAAGUUUAUUAAAAUAAUUUUAGUAGUUAAAAGUUAUUCGUCUUUUAUUAUAUCUGGUUAAUCAGGAUGAAAAUUUAAUUAUAGAUUAAUUUAAUUUUAAUAAUUUUUUUUAUUUUAAUCUUAUAUAAUACUGGAUAAUCUGUAUUUUAUGUUAAAAUUAAAAUUUUAUAAAGUUUAUUUUUUUUAAAAUCUUAAUUUGAGUUCUUAAUAGAUUAACUUUUCUUUAAUAUAAUUUUUUAUAAUUUAAUUUUAUACUGAUUUUUUUUUAUCAAUUAUUUUUUAUUUUAAAUAAUGAAUUAAUAAGUAUAAUUUUAAUUUUUUUAAAAUGAACUCGACAAAUUUGAUUUCCAAAUGUUUAUCAAAAACAUUUCUUUUAGUUUCUAUUAAAGGUAAUUUCUGCCCAAUGAUUAAAUUUAAAUGGCUGCAGUAUUUUGACUGUACAAAGGUAGCAUAAUAAAUAGUCUUUUAAUUGGGGACUCGAAUGAAUGAAAAAAUGAGAUAUCAAUUUUAUUUUAAAUAUUAUUAUAAUUUAAUUUUUAAGUUAAAAAGCUUAAUUAUAUUAUUGGGACGAUAAGACCCUAUAGAACUUAACUAGAAUUAUUAAAUUGAUUUGGUUUAAUAAUUAUUUAUAAAUAGUUUAAUUGGGGUGAUUAAUAAAUUUACUUUACUUUAUUUUUUAUAUUCAUUUCUAUAUGUUUUUUUGUUCCAUUUAAUAAUGAUUAAAAGUUAAAGUUACCUUAGGGAUAACAGCGUAAUUUUAAUGGGGAGUUCAUAUCUAUAUUAAAGUUUGCGACCUCGAUGUUGAAUUAAGAUAAAAUCAGGGGGUAGAUUCUUUGUAUUUAAGUCUGUUCGACUUUUAAUUUCUUACAUGAUUUGAGUUCAAACCGGUGUAAGCCAGGUUGGUUUCUAUCUUAUAAAAUUAGAUUGUAUUAGUACGAAAGGACCAUAUAAUUCAAUAUUAAAUUGUAUAUUUA
rnacentral:rRNA from 1 species